rnacentral:rRNA from 1 species
UGNNAAUAUUGCACAAUGGGCGCAAGCCUGAUGCAGCGACGCCGCGUGAGGGAUGAAGGCCUUCGGGUUGUAAACCUCUUUCGUCAGGGAACAAGGCACUGCUUUUUUGGUGGUGUUGAGGGUACCUGGAUAAGAAGCGCCGGCUAACUACGUGCCAGCAGCCGCGGUAAUACGUAGGGCGCAAGCGUUGUCCGGAAUUAUUGGGCGUAAAGAGCUCGUAGGCGGCUGGUCGCGUCUGUCGUGAAAACUUCCGGCUCAACCGGGGGCUUGCGGUGGGUACGGGCCGGCUAGAGUGCGGUAGGGGUAACUGGAACUCCUGGUGUAGCGGUGGAAUGCGCAGAUAUCAGGAAGAACACCGAUGGCGAAGGCAGGUUACUGGGCCGUUACUGACGCUGAGGAGCGAAAGCGUGGGGAGCGAACAGGAUUAGAUACCCUGGUAGUCCACGCCGUAAACGUUGGGCACUAGGUGUGAGGCUCCUUUCCGGGGGUUUUGCGCCGUAGCUAACGCAUUAAGUGCCCCGCCUGGGGAGUACGGCCGCAAGGCUA